rnacentral:rRNA from 1 species
AAGCGGGAAGAGCUCAAAUUUGAAAUCUGGUGGCCUCAGGUCAUCCGAGUUGUAAUCUAUAGAAGUGUUUUCCGUGCUGGCCCAUGUACAAGUCCCUUGGAACAGGGCGUCAUAGAGGGUGAGAAUCCCGUCCUUGACAUGGACUACCAGUGCUCUGUGAUACACUUUCAACGAGUCGAGUUGUUUGGGAAUGCAGCUCAAAAUGGGUGGUAAAUUCCAUCUAAAGCUAAAUAUUGGCGAGAGACCGAUAGCGAACAAGUACCGUGAGGGAAAGAUGAAAAGCACUUUGGAAAGAGAGUUAAACAGUAUGUGAAAUUGUUGAAAGGGAAACGAUUGAAGUCAGUCGUGCUCAAUGGACUCAGCCGUUCUGCGGUGUAUUUCCAUUGGGUGGGGUCAACAUCAGUUUUGAUCGCUGGAUAAAGGCAGGAGGAAUGUAGCACCCCCGGGUGAACUUAUAGCCUCUUGUCACAUACAGUGGUUGGGACUGAGGAACGCAGCAUGCCUUUAUGGCCGGGAUUCGUCCACGUACAUGCUUAGGAUGUUGACAUAAUGGCUUUAAACGACCCGUCUU